GCUGGCCUUUAGUCCCAGCUACUCAGGAGGCUGAGGCAGGAGAAUUGCUUGAGCCCAGGAGUUCUGGGCUGUCGUGCGCUAUGUCAACUGGGUGUCUGCACUAAAAGUUUAGCAUCAAUAUGGUGACCUCCCGAGAUCAGGGAAUCACCAUGUUGCCUAAGGAGGGGUGAACUGGCCCAGGUCUGAAAUGGAACAGGUCAGAACCUCUGUGCUGGUCCGUAGUGACAUCGUGCCUGUGAAUAGCCACUGUACUUCAGGCUGGGCAACACAGCAAGACCUUGUCUCAC
rnacentral:SRP_RNA from 1 species